GAGUGAGAUGCAGGCACUCAGCCUUAAAUGACAUAAAAAGGCAUCUGUGUUGAUACUAGGAGAAGGAUUUAACCCUAGAAAAGGCUUUAGUUGGAUCUACUAAGGAUUACUGAAUUAUCCUUGUAAGCAUUAUUGACUGAAUGUAAGCUUUAUAUCCGUCAGUAAGCACAAAGCAUUAAGGUUAUGAUUAUGCCACACCUUCACACUGGCAACAGCAGGAAAUGAACCCCCAUGGCCUGAAGCCAGUUUUGCAAGUACAUGCACAUUCGCGAUAUGAAGGAGAAGGGCAAUACAGUUAUCUUUGUCUCUCAGCUGAGUACCAUGUGCACAACUCUGCAUGCUGUCAUUGUAGUCAUGUGCAUAUCCACCAUUAUUUUGAGUGAUGCGACCACCAUAACUCAGAAAAAGGCUGUUGUGCAGAGGGAAGGAGACAGCGUUCACAUAAAGUGUGAACAGGAUGGCACAGACCAACAAAUGUACUGGUACAGGCAGGGUCAUCAAAACGGCCUGGAGCUUAUCUUCUUCUCACGGAUGGAUGGUGUGGACACAGAGAAGCUUGUGGUUGAGGACAGAUUCACAGCCACCAGAGAGAACAGACAGCGUUUCCAUCUAAACGUAACCAGGCUGCAACCUCAAGACUCAGCUGUGUACUUCUGUGCCUCCAGUUUACACAGUGCCCAAAAUUUAUCGUAAGAUGUGAAACCAUUCAUUGUUACAAAUAUGGAAUAAUAGAGGAAAUCAGGAAGGGGGUAAGUACUUUUUCAUGACACUACAUGCUUCAUUCACGUAACCUUUUCCAGUUUUCUUGGGGUCGAUUUGGACCACUUCUCUGGUUGAUCUGUUGCAAACUAUUUUCAUUAAAUAUUUUAAAUAAAAAGAGUACAACGAAGCACUUAGUUACAUGUAUGAGAGGUUUAAUGUGAGUGAGAUGCAGGCACUCAGUCUUAUAUGACAUGAACAGGCAUAUGUGGUGAUACUGAGAGAAAGAUUUAACCCUGGAAAAGGGCUUCAGUUGGAUCUACUAAGGAUUAUGAAAGUAUCCAUAUAGAUAUAAUUGACGGAACGCAUGCUUUAUAUCUUCCUGAUAGGACUAAACAUUAAGCCACACCUGCACACUGGGCAAAGCAGGAAAUGUAACCCUGUGACCUGAAUCCAGUUUUGCGAGUGCAUGCACAUUUGCGAUAUGAAAGAGAAGGGCGAGACAGUUAUUGUUGUGUCUCAGCUGAGUACCAUGUACACAUCUCUGCAUGCUACCAUUGUAGUCAUGUGCAUAUCCACCAUUAGUGAGUCAAAACAUAUUUAAUUUACUGUACGCCAGUGUAUUUUGUUGUUCAAUCAUUUGACAUUUAUCACACUCAUGGAGUUUUAUCUGUUUGUUUUUAAUGACUGUUCAGUUCAUAUUUUUUAAAUAUACAAAUUAUUUCCUCAUAAAAGAGGGAGGGCAUUAAAUCCGGAUUCUGAAAGAUUGUUCUCUUGAACAGAUUUCAGUCAGGGUUUUCAGUUCUACACAUCUCAUUUUGUGUAGUAUUUAGUAUGGAAAA